GUAUUUAUAUUAGUACUUUUUAGAGCACAUGUAAAGAUUUAAAGUUUAGAGUUUCUGUGUUGUUUGAUAACCUCCUGGUGUCUCAUAUCUCAUGAAAGUACCCUGUAGCUUUUUUGGACGUUUUUGGGCUUGAAUUUUGGGCUACAACCUUGAAUACGUCCAUUAAUGCAUUUGUGCUAUAGUUUUAUUUCUGUGAUGUCCAGAAUGUGUAGGAGAGACAAAAUGUCCAAUGAAAAUCUUCACCUCACUGCACUUCAGGAAAGAAAAAAAUAAUAAAAAAUAAAAAUAAAAAUUCUAAUGUUAUAUUAACGCUUUUGGGGGGUAACGCAUUACAAGUAACUUGAGUUAUGUAAUCAGAUUACUUUUUUCAAGUAACUAGUAAAGUAACGCAUUACUUUUAAAUUUACAACAAAAUAUCUGAGUUAUUUUUUAACACAAGUUACUUUGUUUUCCCAUUUAUUGACUGACAGCUCUUCUGUCCCCAUAUUAAGAAAAAUCAUAAGUGCAAAAGCGGUGUGUGUGAACAUGAUGGUUAUUGUAUUUCUAGACUAAAUGUGAGCAUGCAUUUACUCAUCUCACUUGCAUAAAAAAAAAGAUUCAGUGUUCUUCAAAAUAAACAAAAUCAGUGAAAUGCAAAAUCAGAAUAUUAUUCAAACAUGUUAAAACAAAUAUUUUUAUGCAUUUAAUCUCACUUUAUUGAGCAGUGUACUUCCUGCUGACCUUCGACGAUUCAGUUAAACCAUAAGCAAAAAUUGUUUUUAUUGGUGAAGUAAGUGUUAAACCUUUUUCUCUCCUGCAUCGUAUUCUUCCAUUCUUCAGUUAUCCAGAACAGCGGCAGCUGAACAGCUGAAAGGUUUGUUUGAGCUGCGCCCUUUACUGUACAGAGUGAAUUUGCAUUUCCUUCAGCCUUAUUAUUUCAAUUUUGGUGUGAAAGUGUCUUUGUAUUUGCCCAAACUUAGAGAACUUUUUUUGUUAUUAAAAAAAAAAUAAGCCCAGCUCAGGUGAGAAAAAUUUAGGCAGAAGUAACAUAAUGAAUUACUUUUUAAAAAGUAAAUAAGUAACGCAAUUAGUUACUUUUUAAGGGAUGCGUUACUUUUCAAAGUAACUUUCCCCAACAUUGAUGAUGACUAACUAUGAGCUUUGUCAUUUAAUUUCAGGGAGAAACAGUAUUUAAGUGUACUCUGUGUAAGAAAGUAUGGCCAUAUGAUGAAGUCCGAAAAUCCGCCAAACUAACAAAUAAUGAGCGAAUAGGUUUUGAGGAUAAGCUUGGAACAAAUGCUGUUAAGAAGUCUGUUGAAAGCGUAAAGGAUUGUCCUGGCUGUGGCACUUUUAUUCAGAGGGUGCACACUACCAAUCUCGCCGUAGAAUGCUUACUCUGCACAGAAAAGACCGGGAAAAUCUAUGAAUUCUGCUGGCAGUGUCAGAGAGUGUGGAAAGGGCCUCGACCUCGUGACGAUCAGUGUGAAAAUGUGGGUUGCAACAUCAAGGACCGGGAACUACUUAAAGACUGUUCAAUGGUCACUUUAACAUCUGUGCAAAAUGUCCUGUGUCCAGCGAUUCGUGCCUGCCCAUUUUGUGGUGUGCUGAUUGAACACCUGCAAAUUGGAUGUAAAAUUAUGACAUUGUCACGGUUCAUGGAUUCACUUACUCACCCUCGUGUGUUGUUGUGUGUGUGUGUGUGUGUGUGUGUGUGUGUGUGUGUGUGUGUUGGGUGUGAGUGAAUGAUUGUGUGGGCGUCACCCAUUAUGGUCUGAUUGCGAUCUGUUGCCAGCCGUGUCUUGUUAGUGGUUGUUAUAUAUUGUGCAUGUCUUUAUGUGUCUUUGUCAGUUCGUUGCAGGCUGUUCCCGGUGUCGUGUUCUCUGUGUGUUUCUUCCUGGUUUUUGGAUUCUGGACUUUCGUCGUGUGCCCUGUUUUCUGGGUUGGAUUAUCCUUGUUCUCUGAUACCCGCUGUAGCCCUGCGCCACCCAGUGCCUCGCCACUCUGCACGCCACAGCCUCUGCCUCGACUGACCCUUGGAGUGAAGUUAUUGUACAGCAUUUUCCUGUCAAUAAAUAUUGUUAUUCUUG